GUAAGUGUCUAAGGGCGCAUGGUGGAUGCCUUGGCAUCGAGAGCCGAUGAAGGACGUGGGAGGCUGCGAUAUGCCUCGGGGAGCUGUCAACCGAGCGUGGAUCCGAGGAUUUCCGAAUGGGGAAACCCCGCACCAGUGAUGUCGUGCUACCCGCAUCUGAAUAUAUAGGGUGCGGGAGGGAACGCGGGGAAGUGAAACAUCUCAGUACCCGUAGGAGGAGAAAACAAUUGUGAUUCCGCAAGUAGUGGCGAGCGAACGCGGAACAGGCUAAACCGCACGCAUGGGUAACCGGGUAGGGGUUGUGUGUGCGGGGUUGUGGGAGGAUAUGUCUCAGCGCUACCCGGCUGAGAGGCAGUCAGAAAGUGUCGUGGUUAGCGGAAGUGGCCUGGGAUGGUCUGCCGUAGACGGUGAGAGCCCGGUACGCGAAAACCCGGCACCUGCCUAGUAUCAAUUCCCGAGUAGCAGCGGGCCCGUGGAAUCCGCUGUGAAUCCGCCGGGACCACCCGGUAAGCCUAAAUACUCCUCGAUGACCGAUAGCGGAUUAGUACCGUGAGGGAAUGGUGAAAAGUACCCCGGGAGGGGAGUGAAAUAGUACCUGAAACCGUGUGCCUACAAGCCGUGAGAGCCUUAGUCCUUCGGGGCGGGGUGAUUGCGUGCCUUUUGAAGAAUGAGCCUGCGAGUCAGGGACAUGUCGCAAGGUUAACCCGUGUGGGGUAGCCGCAGCGAAAGCGAGUCUGAAUAGGGCGACCCACACGCGCAUACGCGCGUGUGAAUAGUGGCGUGUUCUGGACCCGAAGCGGAGUGAUCUACCCAUGGCCAGGUUGAAGCGCGGGUAAGACCGCGUGGAGGACCGAACCCACUUAGGUUGAAAACUGAGGGGAUGAGCUGUGGGUAGGGGUGAAAGGCCAAUCAAACUCGGUGAUAGCUGGUUCUCCCCGAAAUGCAUUUAGGUGCAGCGUCACGUGUUUCUUGCCGGAGGUAGAGCUACUGGAUGGCCGAUGGGCCCUACUAGGUUACUGACGUCAGCCAAACUCCGAAUGCCGUGGUGUAAAGCGUGGCAGUGAGACGGCGGGGGAUAAGCUCCGUACGUCGAAAGGGAAACAGCCCAGAUCGCCGGCUAAGGCCCCCAAGCGUGUGCUAAGUGGGAAAGGAUGUGCAGUCGCAAAGACAACCAGGAGGUUGGCUUAGAAGCAGCCACCCUUGAAAGCGGGGCUCAAGCACACCGCCGAAGCCGCGGCACAUCCACCUUGUGGUGGGUGUGGGUAGGGGAGCGUCCCUCAUUCAGCGAAGCCACCGGGUGACCGGUGGUGGAGGGUGGGGGAGUGAGAAUGCAGGCAUGAGUAGCGACAAGGCAAGUGAGAACCUUGCCCGCCGAAAGACCAAGGGUUCCUGGGCCAGGCUAAUCCGCCCAGGGUGAGUCGGGACCUAAGGCGAGGCCGACAGGCGUAGUCGAUGGACAACGGGUUGAUAUUCCCGUACCCGCGAAGGAACGCCCAUGCUGAACCCAGCGAUGCUAACCACCCGAAGCGCCGGUGUCUCUUAGGAGGCCGAGUGCGGGGAGGCUGGGACCCGGACUGGUAGUAGGCAAGCGAAGGGGUGACGCAGGAAGGUAGCCGUACCAGUCAGUGGUAACACUGGGGCAAGCCGGUAGGGAGAGCGAUAGGCAAAUCCGUCGCUCACUAAUCCUGAGAGGUGACGCAUAGCCGGUUGAGGCGAAUUCGGUGAUCCUCUGCUGCCAAGAAAAGCCUCUAGCGAGCACACACACGGCCCGUACCCCAAACCGACACAGGUGGUCAGGUAGAGCAUACCAAGGCGUACGAGAUAACUAUGGUUAAGGAACUCGGCAAAAUGCCCCCGUAACUUCGGGAGAAGGGGGACCGGAAUAUCGUGAACACCCUUGCGGUGGGAGCGGGAUCCGGUCGCAGAAACCAGUGAGGAGCGACUGUUUACUAAAAACACAGGUCCGUGCGAAGUCGCAAGACGAUGUAUACGGACUGACGCCUGCCCGGUGCUGGAAGGUUAAGAGGACCCGUUAACCCGCAAGGGUGAAGCGGAGAAUUUAAGCCCCAGUAAACGGCGGUGGUAACUAUAACCAUCCUAAGGUAGCGAAAUUCCUUGUCGGGUAAGUUCCGACCUGCACGAAUGGCGUAACGACUUCUCAACUGUCUCAACCAUAGACUCGGCGAAAUUGCACUACGAGUAAAGAUGCUCGUUACGCGCGGCAGGACGAAAAGACCCCGGGACCUUCACUACAACUUGGUAUUGAUGUUCGGUACGGUUUGUGUAGGAUAGGUGGGAGACUGUGAAACCUCGACGCCAGUUGGGGCGGAGUCGUUGUUGAAAUACCACUCUGAUCGUAUUGGGCAUCUAACCUCGAACCCUGAAUCGGGUUUAGGGACAGUGCCUGGCGGGUAGUUUAACUGGGGCGGUUGCCUCCUAAAAUGUAACGGAGGCGCCCAAAGGUUCCCUCAACCUGGACGGCAAUCAGGUGGCGAGUGUAAAUGCACAAGGGAGCUUGACUGCGAGACUUACAAGUCAAGCAGGGACGAAAGUCGGGAUUAGUGAUCCGGCACCCCCGAGUGGAAGGGGUGUCGCUCAACGGAUAAAAGGUACCCCGGGGAUAACAGGCUGAUCUUCCCCAAGAGUCCAUAUCGACGGGAUGGUUUGGCACCUCGAUGUCGGCUCGUCGCAUCCUGGGGCUGGAGUAGGUCCCAAGGGUUGGGCUGUUCGCCCAUUAAAGCGGCACGCGAGCUGGGUUUAGAACGUCGUGAGACAGUUCGGUCUCUAUCCGCCGCGCGCGUCAGAAACUUGAGGAAACCUGUCCCUAGUACGAGAGGACCGGGACGGACGAACCUCUGGUGCACCAGUUGUCCCGCCAGGGGCACCGCUGGAUAGCCACGUUCGGUCAGGAUAACCGCUGAAAGCAUCUAAGCGGGAAACCUUCUCCAAGAUCAGGUUUCUCACCCACUUGGUGGGAUAAGGCCCCCCGCAGAACACGGGUUCAAUAGGUCAGACCUGGAAGCUCAGUAAUGGGUGUAGGGAACUGGUGCUAACCGGCCGAAAACUUACAACA
rnacentral:rRNA from 1 species